rnacentral:rRNA from 1 species
UACGUAGGGGGCAAGCGUUGUCCGGAAUUAUUGGGCGUAAAGCGCGCGCAGGCGGUUCUUUAAGUCUGGUGUUUAAACCCGAGGCUCAACUUCGGGUCGCACUGGAAACUGGGGGACUUGAGUGCAGAAGAGGAGAGUGGAAUUCCACGUGUAGCGGUGAAAUGCGUAGAUAUGUGGAGGAACACCAGUGGCGAAGGCGACUCUCUGGGCUGUAACUGACGCUGAGGCGCGAAAGCGUGGGGAGCGAACAGG